GGGGCUAUAGCUCAGUUGGGAGAGCGCUACACUGGCAGUGUAGAGGUCAGCGGUUCGAACCCGCUUAGCUCCACCA
rnacentral:tRNA from 1 species